rnacentral:lncRNA from 1 species
CUGGCUGUCCCUCAGGAGCGGGGGUCCUCCAAGGCACACUGCCCACUGGGUCAAGGAGUGUCCAGGAGGAGUUAGAAGCAUGACCCAUCUGCCUGGCACCAGCACCUGGGGCUGCCAGGCAGCCACCCCUGCAGCUGUGUUGACAGGGCCUGGCAGAGGGACUGACCCACCUUUGGAAAAUGACACCAGCAAUAUCAGGAUGUGUCAACUGGAUUUAUGUUAAGAAAAUAGGAUUUUUGGUGUUCCUCUGUUUCCCAAAGUUUGAGACACUUUCAGACACUCUGCUUUGCGGUUGUGGCCGAUGUUACCCAUGGGUGGGACUUUUGCUUUGCUCUAGAUUUUUGUAACACCCUGGGGAGUUUCAGGGGCCAAUGCUGAGAGAAGACCACAGGCUGACACAUCAUGAGGUAUGUUGGUAAAACAGCCCCGGCUGGCCGAGAGGCCACUGAGGGAACAGGCCCAGGGUUUGGUUUGUACUCUGUGAGUCUUGGCCUGGCAGGGUCUCCUGCACAGCAGAGUCCUCUGAGUGGGACCCCAGGGGAAGCAGGUUGUUGCCUGGAGCUGAGAGGCAGCUCUGUAUUCAGGAGGGGUGCCUGCCUUCCCAUCUCCCCUGUGACCAGAUGUCACAGAAACAUUCUCUCUUUACUCCCUAGACCCUCUGGGCAGGUCCACUAAGAGUAUGUAUUCUAGAACAUGCAGGGCUUGAAGCUUCACAAGAUAUUCAGUGCA